GUCUAGGCCAUGCUACCUUGAACAAGCCUGAUCCUGUCUGAUCUCGGAAACUAAGCAGGGUCGGGCCUGGUUAGUACUUGGAUGGGAGACUACCUACGAAGACCAGGUGCUGUAGGCA
rnacentral:rRNA from 1 species